UUGCUUCCAUAGCACAUAUACUAAAAUUGGAACGAUACAGAGAAGAUUAGCAUGGCCCCUAAGCAGGGAUGAUGUGCAAAUUCAUGAAGUGUUCCAUGUUUCU
rnacentral:snRNA from 1 species